AUUGAACGCUGGCGGCAGGCCUAACACAUGCAAGUCGAACGAGUGGCGGACGGGUGAGUAAUGUCUGGGAAACUGCCCGAUGGAGGGGGAUAACUACUGGAAACGGUAGCUAAUACCGCAUACCAUCGGAUGUGCCCACAUGGGAUUAGCUAGUGGGGGGGGUAACGGCUCACCUAGGCGACGAUCCCUAGCUGGUCUGAGAGGAUGACCAGCAACACUGGAACUGAGACACGGGCCAGACUCCUACGGGAGGCAGCAGUGGGGAAUAUUGCACAAUGGGCGCAAGCCUGAGGCAGCCAUGCCGCGUGUAUGAAGAAGGCCGUCGGGUUGUAAAGUACUUUCAGCGAGGAGGCGUUACUCGCAGAAGAAGCACCGGCUAACGCCGUGCCAGCAGCCGCGGUAAUAC
rnacentral:rRNA from 1 species